AGGCAUUUAGAAAAAUGAUUUAGAUAGAAUUAAAUAGUAUAUUAAAUACUCUUUGAAUUCUUUGUUGCAUGAGUAGAUCUUAGCUGUAUUUCUUCUUGGAAGGAUGGAAUUGUGAAAUACAAUUGAAGUUGGAGCUCUUAGAAUAAAAUAUGUAACUUAACACCCUUUCCUUUGAGUUAAAGAGUUGUUUGGGAUAAAUCAAUUUACAGUUUCAUUCCUAAUUAAUCAUUCAAUUAGCAUGCAUUUGUUAAGCACAUUUAAGUUCCUGACAAAGGGUUCUUUUGGGAUUGACAACAUGUACACAAAGUUAGGAUGUACAAAAUAAAGUAAUUUUUUCUUUUUUGGGUAGUAGAGGAAGGAGGGAAUGAGACCCCAGAUACUGAAAAUCAGGGAAGACCUCAUAUAUGAGGGGAUGUUUGAAUUGGCAUCGAAUUUUAUCUUAGUGCUAAUAAAGAGCUAGUGGAAUUUAUUAAGUAGAGUUGUGACAUGGUCUGGAUUGUGCUUUAGGAAUAUUUUGGCAGCUAAAUUAGGUGGAGGAGGUUGAAUUAAAGGAAAUUGUGACCUGAAGCAAAGAGAUCAAAUAGGAAAUAAUUUCUGUAGUCUAGGUGAACAAUUGUGAGAUUCUGUUUUGUUUUGUUUUUUUUUGACUGAAAAGAAAAGCAUGGAGGUAGAAAUGAACAAAGCGUGACAAUUGAUUUGUUACGGGGUAAGGGAGAAUAAUGAGUAAAAGAUAAUGGCAGAGAUUGUGAAUCUGGUGUAAUAAAAGGAUAAUGGUAACCCUGACAGGAACAAGAAGUUCAGAAGAGUGAUGGAUUUUUGGGACGAGAUAAUGAGUUUUAUCUUGGAUAUGUUGAGGUUGAGAUUCCUGUGGAAUAUUCACUCCAACAUGUCUGUAGGCUGUUGUUGUUGUAUUGCUCACAUUGGACUUGAAUUUGGAAGGGAAGACAAGCUCUUUACAGUUGGAAAAGAUACUUAAAGCAUUUUGGGCUGCUUGAAUAAAGGCAGACUGCUUAAAUCCUGUGUGCCUAUUCCAGUAAAAACCAAAAAUUUGUAUCAUGCUGAAUAAUGAUUAGGAAAUCCAAUGAGAAACUACACUGUGAGUUAUACCUCAGAAGUCCAUUAAAAAAUCAGCCACAACCCAUGAAGGAAGAACUCAUGAACUGUCAACUAUCAAGCAAGCUAACUCUAAGCAUGAUCAGAAAUACAUAUAGCUUGAAGGAACUUCUGCUCAGAAGCAGAAAUAAUUGAAGCCGACUUCUCCUCUCAACCCUUAAACAGUGGUCAAAAAGAUCCAGGAUGGUAUUCUUGGAAAUUCUAGGCAGCUUCCAGGUACCAUGUGGCAUUGACUAGUGCAGUACAUGUGACUAGACCUGGAUAAUCAAGGUUCUUAGAGACUCUGUGGUUACUAGCAUUCUGUCUUAAAGGAUCCUGAAAACUCAGAACUCUCAAUCUCAAAUACAGGGAGAGCCUAACCCUGAAAGGUGGAGGUCAACACAGUAGGACAUGUGAGUAGAGAUGAAAGCAAGAGGGGUCAACUAUUCCACCCAAAGUAUAGCAGGAGGAAGAAUUUGGCCCUGGAAAAAAAACAUAGUUCAGAAAUUAAAGCUGUAGAGAUAAGCAGACCAAAAAUGAUCUUGAACAGUAUUUAAAAAAAAAAAAAAAAGUGGUAGAUGAAGACAUAUUCCAAAAAGAAUGAGAAGGUAACUGAAAUCCAAAGGGGGAAAAAUUGUCUUUGGACAAAGCUUACAUGAAUACUUGGAAGAAUUGAAGCAAGAAAUUAAAAAAUGAAAUAAUUCUGUGGGUGUGAAUUAGAAGGAAAAGAAAUGGCUUAGAAGAGAAAGUGUUAGUUUCGGGUGAGGAAAACUCUGAAAACUAGAUUGUAACAAGCAUUUACUUAAUGAGAUUAUAAUGAUUAUUAGAACAAAAUCAAAAGAUUGAAGAAAUAGAAGUGUGAUAUAAAAAUUUUCAUAGAAGAAAAAAUGAAGAAAAAGUGUUGGAAUUCCUACUAACUGCUAAGUAAUUAGAGUUGAUCUAAUCUUACAAGAAGUUGUUUUGGCCAGAACCUGAAACAAGGUACUAAGUAGAACUAAUUAAGACAAGGCUUGUGUUCACACCUUUACUCACUGGAGUCCACAAGUAUGCUAGCUUCACAAAGUACACUUUCUACACCUCCCUUAAAGCUCAUUGGGCCAGAGAGCACUAUGGGAGAAAACCCAUAAUCCCAUUCUCUCAGAAGAGGCAUAUAAAAGGCCAGCGAUGAGGGAUUUAUGGCAGAAUACAUUUUUUCUUCUUGGCUGGCUGAUCGCGCUGGACUCGAGAAGAACGACUCUGGUGCAGAGAACACUUUGACGGAUUUCAGUGGAGCUACGCCAGAAGCCCUCUCUCCGCGGCAAGUUGGUGGCUGGGCUCCCCAGAAGGAGAUAAGAGAGACCUUCCAUCUCUGUCUUGGUUGGAGGCAGAAGAAAGCAGAGGCAGAGGCUAAAGGACCAGACCUUUGGAUUUAAAGAUAUUCGGAGAGAGCUCUUGGAACCAAGCAGAGAGAUAGGCCUCUAGGCUAACCGGGCUAUAUUGGAGAUAAUAAAAGAUCUGAACUUUUAUCACCUGGCUGCGUUUUGGGAAGAAGAUCACCACAUUUCCACAAAAAGGCCUAAGGAAAUAAACACAGUUUUUAAAAGAGGAAAUCUAGACUCUAUAUAUGAACAAAAUGCUCCAACUUAUUAAUAAUUAGAAAAACAGAAAUGAAAGGAUCUCAGGUUUUGCCUCAUACACACUGGAUUGGCAAAGAUGCCAAAAAAAAAAAGACAAAUAUUGGAGGGUCUGUGAAAAAAUAGACAUUGUUGCACUAUUGGUAGAAUUAUGAAUGGAUUCAACCAUUUUGAAAAUCAGUUUGAAAUUUUGUGGUAAAAAAAAAAUUGGAAACUAACGGGGUACUCAUCAGUUGGGGAGUAAUUAAACAUACUGUAGGAUAUGAAUGUAAGGUAAUAUUAUUGUCAUGUAAGAAAUAAGGGAAAA